rnacentral:rRNA from 1 species
GGCGACCGGCGCACGGUGAGUAACGCGUAUGCAACCUGCCCGAUACCGGGGUAUAGCCCAUGGAAACGUGGAUUAACACCCCAUAGUACUUUUAUCCUGCAUGGGAUGUGAGUUAAAUGUUCAAGGUAUCGGAUGGGCAUGCGUCCUAUUAGUUAGUUGGCGGGGUAACAGCCCACCAAGACGAUGAUAGGUAGGGGUUCUGAGAGGAAGGUCCCCCACAUUGGAACUGAGACACGGUCCAA